rnacentral:rRNA from 1 species
CACGGGUGAGUAACACGUAUCCAACCUGCCGUCUACUCUUGGCCAGCCUUCUGAAAGGAAGAUUAAUCCAGGAUGGCAUCAUGAGUUCACAUGUCCGCAUGAUUAAAGGUAUUUUCCGGUAGACGAUGGGGAUGCGUUCCAUUAGAUAGUAGGCGGGGUAACGGCCCACCUAGUCAACGAUGGAUAGGGGUUCUGAGAGGAAGGUCCCCCACAUUGGAACUGAGACACAGUCCAA